AAACAACCGCCGGAAGAACGGAAAUCAUUGAUGUUGAUUAUUAAGAGGAAUAUUUUCUUCGUUGUUUA
rnacentral:tRNA from 2 species